rnacentral:rRNA from 1 species
UACGGAGGGUGCGAGCGUUAAUCGGAAUUACUGGGUUUAAAGGGUGCGUAGGCGGGCCUUUAAGUCAGUGGUGAAAGCUCCGAGCUUAACUCGGAAACUGCCAUUGAUACUAUUGGUCUUGAAUUCGGUCGAGGUUGGCGGAAUGUGUCGUGUAGCGGUGAAAUGCUUAGAUAUGACACAGAACACCGAUUGCGAAGGCAGCUAGCUAGACCGACAUUGACGCUGAGGCACGAAAGCGUGGGGAUCAAACAGG